rnacentral:ncRNA from 1 species
ACCAUCCUUUUCUCAGGGUUGGGCUACUGUCCAAUGAGCAUCUAGAGAGGGCAGUACUACUAGCGCCUACACAACAUACUGGCAUCAACUAGAGCUUUGCUUUAUCAUGGUGCAAUUUUUGGAAAA